GGCCCAGCUCAGAGAGGCCCAGCUCAGACAGAUCCAGCUCAGACAGAUCCAGCUCAGAGAGGCCCAGCUCAGACAGAUCCAGCUCAGAGAGGCCCAGCUCAGAGAGGCCCAGCUCAGAGAGGCCCAGCUCAGACAGAUCCAGCUCAGAGAGGCCCAGCUCAGACAGAUCCAGCUCAGAGAGGCCCAGCUCAGACAGAUCCAGCUCAGACAGAUCCAGCUCAGACAGAUCCAGCUCAGAGAGGCCCAGCUCAGACAGAUCCAGCUCAGAGAGGCCCAGCUCAGAGAGGCCCAGCUCAUGAACUCCAUCUGCAGCAGAUUUUAAUUUGGAAUGGAAAAUGAAUGUGUUUAUAUGACAAAAUGUUAGUGCAAAGAAUAAUUUCCCAUGACUCUUUAAUCAAACUAAAACGUAUUGUUACUGUAUCGUAUUGGAGCGCAUGUAUCAGGAUACGGAACCAAUUAUCUUGAAAGAGAAAAAUGCACAGCCCUAGUGUGUGUGUGUGUGUGUGUGUGUGUGUGUGUGUGUGUGUGUGUGUGUGUGUGUGUGUGUUAAACUGUGUCUGGGGUCUGUGUGUGUCGGCCCACCCGCGUGUUGUUGCGUAAUCACAGAGCAGACUGAUGCUAAAAAUGGCCCUGGAUAAAAGUAUUGUGACCCAGAGCAGGGCUCUCUCUGUGUGUCGGUGUGUGUCGGUGUGUGUCGGUGUGUGUCGGUGUGUGUGUGUGUGUGUGUGUGUGUCAGUGGCCAUUUGGGCAAGGAGCUUACAACUGAUGUCCCCCUAUAACACCAGUCAGUGAGAGGAGGGGAGGAUGUAAACAGCAGAGAGCGAGGAAGAGGGGAAAGUGGGGAGAGAUGGACGUUUUGAGGGAGGGAGGAAAGAGAGCAAGAGGAGGGGAGAUGGAGAGAGGAGAAAGGAAGGUAGUGGGGCAAUGUAAACAUGAGGGAGAGAUGGAGAGAGGGGAAAGACAGGUAGUGAGAAAAAGAAAAGGCGUAUGGAAGGCUGGAGUGAACACUGUCAGAGAAGAAAACGUGGAGAGAGGGAUGGAGAAACAGAUGAGUGUUUCCCAACAACAGGUCAGGACCUAUUGGGUCACCGCUAUUCCUUUUGGGACACACCUAAACACAAGAUUAAACCCAAACACACUGCUUUGAUUUAUUGGGCGAAUCACAAUAUAUUUCAAAUCAGCUUUGAGCAUUUGGCAGUAUGAAGCUGUAUGAAGCUGUAUGACGCUGUAUGACGCUGUAUGACGCUGUACUAGGCAUUGCGUCGUCCUGAACCUUCUUUCAGUAUUCUAGUUCCAGCCUACCUUCCACUGAUCAGACCUCAGCGGCCCAGUGAAUGGUUGAGACCAGCACAUCACAUUAAAUAUCAAUGGCUUUACAUGGCUAACAGCUCUAGAGGCUGUUCAUCUGACAGAGAGAAAGGACAAUAUGACAGGCUGGACAGCUAACGGACAGGGAAAAGAGGGAGAGACGUAAAGACAGGGAUGGAGAGAUGUGAGAAGUGAAGGAGACAGGCUAGCCAGUAUACUGAAGACAGGAAAAGAGAGUGACAAACAAUUGAGAGAGAGAGAGUGCGGAAGCGAGAGAGUGAGCGUGUAUGAUGCUGUACAGCACUGAUGGUAAAGCCUGCCAUUAAACUUUAAAUCACUCUGCUUUCCUAUAAAUACCUUUCCAAUGAUCUAUGCAUUAUUCAACCCCUCUCAGGCCAACACACAUCACACACACCUGGGAGGAGACAUAAACAGAGUUCAGAGAAAUGACUGCAUAUAAACAUUUCAGGAAGAUGACUAACUAAAAAUAGAUUAAUGAUGGACUGCAAAGAGCUACCCAUGAAAACCUGUACGAGACUACCUAUCCAGGAUGAACGUGUGUGUGUGUGUGUGUGUGUGUGUGUGUGUGUGUGUGUGUGUGUGUGUGUGUGUGUGUAUGUGUGUGUGUGUGUCCUGCAUGGUGUGGCGCCCCUAAUCCGAGUUGAUACAGAUCAGACAGACAAACACCAGUAAACUACAGGUUGUUUCCACACAGUGAUGCUAACCACACAGUAAUGCUAACCACACAGUGAUGCUAACCACACAGUGAUGCUAACCACACAGUGAUGCUAACCACACAGUAAU
rnacentral:lncRNA from 1 species